CACAACAACUCACUGCACUGCAAUAGACAAUCGACACGACAAAAAUGAUUAUGUGAACACAGAUGCUGAGUUAGUUCCAUUCAUUUAUGGAGGGAGCUCUGUUUAAGGCCUUCUGAGCCUGGAGCAGCCAAACUAAGGGCUGGUCCAAGCUCUUUCCCUGACCGUCCUCCUCCCCUUCUACAGUACACCCCACGGAGCUCCCACGACAUCAAACCCCACCAAAGAGAUGUGAAGGAGAUUCCAUCGCCUCCAUUUUGAUGAUUCAGCAGGAGUAGCCGGAUUCUUCCAGUAAAACACCUCCUCCUGAACACACACAAUGAUGAUGCAAGUGAAGCAGUGUUUCCAUCAGACACACCUGGUGGUGUGCAGCGGGACAGCUACACAUGAACAUAGAGAAUGUGGGCAUAAAGCUAUCGGAGUAUUUGAUGUAAAUGAUGAUCAAUAGCAAAGCUCUGUGAUGGUUUAAUAAAAGCUUCCUGGAUGAUGUCAUGUUUUCCUUUAAAUGGACACAUACACACACGCACACACACACAGAAGCAUUAUGCCAUCUAAGGCUAAUGAGAGGGUGAGUGUGUGAGCAUCUCUUUCUCUCUC